GACGAACGCUGGCGGCGUGCUUAACACAUGCAAGUCGAACGGAAAGGCCCUGCUUGCAGGGUACUCGAGUGGCGAACGGGUGAGUAACACGUGGGUGAUCUGCCCUGCACUUCGGGAUAAGCCUGGGAAACUGGGUCUAAUACCGGAUAGGAGCCAUUUUUAGUGUGAUGGUUGGAAAGUUUUUUCGGUGUAGGAUGAGCUCGCGGCCUAUCAGCUUGUUGGUGGGGUAAUGGCCUACCAAGGCGGCGACGGGUAGCCGGCCUGAGAGGGUGGACGGCCACAUUGGGACUGAGAUACGGCCCAGACUCCUACGGGAGGCAGCAGUGGGGAAUAUUGCACAAGGGGCGCAAGCCUGAUGCAGCGACGCCGCGGGGGGGAUGACGGCCUCCGGGUUGUAAACUCCUUUCGCUAGGGACGAAGCUUUUUGUGACGGUACCUAGAUAAGAAGCACCGGCUAACUACGUG
rnacentral:rRNA from 1 species